rnacentral:rRNA from 1 species
GCAAGUCGAACGCGAAGGGACUUCGGUCCUGAGUAAAGUGGCGCACGGGUGAGUAACGCGUAGAUAACCUGUCUUUAUGUCUGGAAUAAUACGCCGAAAGGGGUACUAAUACCGGAUAUUUUUGCAUUGCAUAAGCAGUGUAAGCAAAGGUGGCCUCUGACAUAAGCUACUGCAUAAAGAGGGGUCUGCGUACCAUUAGCUAGUAGGUGGGGUAAAGGCCUACCUAGGCUACGAUGGUUAGCGGGUCUGAGAGGAUGAUCCGCCACACUGGCACUGGAACACGGGCCAGACUCCUACGGGAGGCAGCAGUGAGGAAUAUUGCGCAAUGGGGGCAACCCUGACGCAGCGACGCCGCGUGAGUGAAGGAAGGCCUUCGGGUCGUAAAGCUCUGUCAAAGGGAAAGAAGUGCAUGGCGGCUAAUACCUGCCAUGUUUGACGGUACCCUUAAAGGAAGCACCGGCUAACUCCGUGCCAGCCGCUGC